GUGGACCUACGGGACGCAGCAGUGAGGAAUAUUGGUCAAUGGGCGCGAGCCUGAACCAGCCAAGUCGCGUGAGGGAAGACGGUCCUAUGGAUUGUAAACCUCUUUUGUCGGGGAGCAAAAGACGCCACGCGUGGCGUUCCGAGAGUACCCGAAGAAAAAGCAUCGGCUAACUCCGUGCUAGCAGCCGCGGUAAUACGGAGGAUGCGAGCGUUAUCCAGAUUUAUUGGGUUUAAAGGGUGCGCAGGCGGAAGAUCAAGUCA
rnacentral:rRNA from 1 species